UGGGGAAUCUUGCGCAAUGGCCGAAAGGCUGACGCAGCGACGCCGCGUGUGGGAGGAAGCUCUUCGGGGUGUAAACCACUGUUGCCCGGGACGAACAUCAGGUUUCGACCUGACUGACGGUACCGGGUGAGGAAGCACCGGCUAACUCUGUGCCAGCAGCCGCGGUAAUACAGAGGGUGCGAGCGUUGUCCGGAAUCACUGGGCGUAAAGGGCGCGUAGGCGGCUCUGGUAAGCGUGCGGUGAAAGCCCGGGGCUCAACCCCGGGUCGGCCGUGCGAACUGCUGAGCUGGAGCACUGUAGAGGCAGGUGGAAUUCCGGGUGUAGCGGUGGAAUGCGUAGAGAUCCGGAAGAACACCGGUGGCGAAGGCGGCCUGCUGGGCAGUGACCGAGAGGUCUUAAAGCUGACGCUGAGGCGCGACAGCGUGGGGAGCAAACAGGAUUAGAUACCCCCGUAGUCC
rnacentral:rRNA from 1 species